GAAGGGGUUGUUAGUCACGACCAAGCCAUCCACGUCGGCUAUGAACAGUUAGCAAGCGGGCAGUGAGCGCGAGCGGGUAGCGAGAGAAAAAGGGUACACGUGCGCUGCGAGAGAAAAUAUCUCGUCUCUCUCCCGAGCGGGCAGCGAGAGAAAAAGGGUACACGUCCGCUGCGAGAGAAAAUAUCUCGUCUCUCUCCCUCCUCCCUUCCCGUCGCCUCCUCCUCUUCCCCGUCCCUCACGGCCUCCUCGCCCCCUCCGCCUUCAGCACCUCUUCCUCCCCUUCCUCUCCUCCUUCCCUGCCUCCGGUUCCAGGCAUGGAGGGAUGAACCCGGAGAGCUGUAGCCGGUGGAUGCCGCGACGUACGGGGAGGCGAUGGCGAAGGGGAGUUUCGGUCAAGUGGAAUCUGAUGGGUUGCAGGGCGAGGAGCAGGGAGUAGCCUGGCGUAGAUACAGAAUAUCGGCCUCUCCCCACGACCCACCUCUCCCACAAGAGCACAACUAGUCAUCUAGGGUUUGGAUGGGUCUGGGUUCCUACAACGAUGGCAGCAGAGGCGACAAAGACCACUUUGCAACCUCGCCGAACUGUGUUACUGAACUGAAAGUUUAGGGACGGCAGUAGUUCUACCACCGAUGGUGUUGCAUGUAAGCUGGAUGUUCUCAUUGUUCUGUUGGCUCUGAUCGGUGAUGCAGGAUGUGAGGUACAACUAUCAAAGUGACAUUAAUUUUGGUUUUGCUUCCUAUCCGCAGCCUCUUCUACACUAGAAAAGGAAAACACUCGACGAUCUGGCUCUGUCUCAGGUAUAUGCUCCCUCGCCCGCAAGAUCUGCUCUCUCCCAUCUAUGCAUCACGGCAGCACUUCAGCUCCUCUUGUGGAUUCUCACCAGAUCAGGCCACCUCACUCACCUUCAGCGCAUAUCUUGCCUAAGCGCAGGCUUAAGCAAUGCGUUUUGUUCUGCCCUAGCGCCUAGGUGCUUACACCCUUUCCCCCUACUAAUUUAAGAGGUGUGGAGAUUUUUUAAGGAGGUGUUGCUCGCUUUGUUGUUCAGAUCACAGAAGAAGUAUGUACAAGUAUACAUCACCGCUGUUACUUGCUUGCAAUUACAGUGUAUUUUAAAACACACACUUGGCGAACAUCUGCUCGUGCUUACAAUGCUCUAUGAGGGAAAUAAUAGAUCAACACUUGCUUUUUUGCUCCUUUUGAACACUUGUCAGGACCUCACCGGCAGAUCCCUCAGCUAUCAGGGAAAGCAGUCAUCAGCGGAGAUUGAGAGUGCCUCUCCGGCAAGAGUGCUCGUGUCGUGGUGGUUUCCCACCAGCAGCAUGGGGGAGACGGUGUCCUCUGCAGCUAGGUCUACUUGCUGGCGACCUCACCGUCACCAGCCCAUCUGCAGGUAUGCUAGCUCAUCUUCUAUUAGUGCAAAAAGGAGAUGCUCAAAUGGAUUGAGUGGUACCCUCCUGAAACUAUUGUAGGGAUGGACAUAUGGAUUGAUUGGUAGGCCCCUGAAAGCUACACAGAUCUGAACCAAUAACUUUAAUAAGAAUGUGUAUCCCAGCUCCUUUUAUAAUCUUGAAUCCUUCUCGGUCCUACUAAACUGUAACUCAUGUUUAUUUUUGGAAACAAUAUUUUGGACAUUCCUAACCUGGUCAAGGGAAUGUAUUGCCCACCUACAGUGAGAAACACAUACGAAGUAGGUCCUACUAAACACCUAAAAGGAUGAGUUACAGUAGGUGUGCAUAGAGUACUAACAUUUUUGCUAUCUUUAUGCUCCUCCAUAUGGAUGGGAACUAAAAGGAUGAUGAUAUUAUUCUACCUUUCAAUAUUUGGUGGUGCAUAUUUAAGAAAAUCACAGCUAAGCAUGUCACUUUCUAAAAAGACGCUUGACUGGAAUGUAUAUGUAUAUAGUUAAUAAAAUCAUAGUGACUGAUUGUUCAGUUCCUCUGUUUAGAUUAGAGGUGUCUGCAUGCAUCCAAGUGAACGGUCUUUCCAGCUCAAAAGAGAAAGUGACCGAUGUUUUGGCAUAUUUUCCUAUUAGGAAUAAAUGGAUAUGCCCAUGCACGUAUGCACACAGAUUUCAGGUUACAGUUUAAUUAGGAAACAGAUGAUACCUCAUUGUGUCGUAUUGGUCUAAGAAGAGGGGAUAUACUUGGUGAAUAUAUAUGUUCCACCCGACCGUUAAUUUCAGAGAAAAGGACAUGCACUUCAGUAGCAAAAAUUUGAUUGUUAUGUACUAUCUGUAAUGCUAAGCAUUUAUUUGCUAAUAUCUCCUCAUCUGAAUUUGUAUUUUGUGCCAUUUGGCCUUUUAACCAUAUGGGCAUAUGCAGAUGGUCUGAAAACCAAGAUAUGCCACAGAUAAUAACUAUAUGGGCUGCUCCAGAUGGACUAAGAAUGGAACCAUAUCCUAGGCCUACAUGCUAAUAUUGUACAGCAACGAAUAUCUUAACUUAUUUAUACUUAAUCAGCUGUGUAAUAAUAAGCGUGAUAUUAGCUUUCGUACCCAUCUUCAUGGUUGAAAUACUUUUCUGCAAUAUGUGACACAUUUGCUUCAGUUUC